CAAUUCAGUUGAUGGGAAAAUAUUUAUGGCAUGAAUCUGUACGCAAUGGCAUUCGGCAAUUUGAUUAGCAGUUGACGUUGCGGCCGUAAACAUGUCUGGCAAAUGACGUUGCGUAAUGUCAAAUUCUGUUGACGUUUCAUUGUCGCUACACGUUGAUCUGUUCAUUGAUGGCCAGCAACAAAUCUUAUCUACUUGUAUCGUUGUCGGAAGGACGGUAAGACGAG
rnacentral:lncRNA from 1 species